UCAAGCGAACAAGUGCAUGUGGUGGAUGCCUUGGCGAUCACAGGCGAUGAAGGACGCGGUAGCCUGCGAAAAGCUUCGGGGAGCUGGCAAACGAGCUUUGAUCCGAAGAUGUCCGAAUGGGGAAACCCACUCCGAAUGGAGUAUCCAUGACUGAAUCCAUAGGUCAUGUGAAGCGAACGCGGUGAACUGAAACAUCUAAGUAACCGCAGGAAAAGAAAUCAACCGAGAUUCCCAGAGUAGUGGCGAGCGAAAUGGGACCAGCCUGUACUCUUUAUUCUUACUGUUAGUCGAAGGCUCUGGAAAGUGCCGCCAUAGCAGGUGAUAGCCCUGUAGACGAAAACAGCGAGGAAGAACUAGGUGUACGACAAGUAGGGCGGGACACGUGAAAUCCUGUCUGAAGAUGGGGGGACCAUCCUCCAAGGCUAAAUACUCGUGAUCGACCGAUAGUGAACCAGUACCGUGAGGGAAAGGCGAAAAGAACCCCGGGAGGGGAGUGAAAUAGAUCCUGAAACCGCAUGCAUACAAACAGUCGGAGCCUCGCAAGGGGUGACGGCGUACCUUUUGUAUAAUGGGUCAGCGACUUACAUUCAGUGGCAAGCUUAACCGAUUAGGGCAGGCGUAGCGAAAGCGAGUCCGAACAGGGCGUUCAGUCGCUGGGUGUAGACCCGAAACCAGGUGAUCUAUCCAUGGCCAGGAUGAAGGUGCGGUAACACGUACUGGAGGUCCGAACCCACUAACGUUGAAAAGUUAGGGGAUGAGCUGUGGAUAGGGGUGAAAGGCUAAACAAACCUGGAAAUAGCUGGUUCUCUCCGAAAACUAUUUAGGUAGUGCCUCGUGUAUCACCUUCGGGGGUAGAGCACUGUCAUGGUUGUGGGGUCCAUUGCGGAUUACUACGCCAUAGCAAACUCCGAAUACCGAAGAGUGCAAUCACGGGAGACAGACAUCGGGUGCUAACGUCCGGUGUCAAGAGGGAAACAACCCAGACCGCCAGCUAAGGUCCCCAAAUAUUGCUAAGUGGGAAACGAAGUGGGAAGGCUAAAACAGUCAGGAGGUUGGCUUAGAAGCAGCCAUCCUUUAAAGAAAGCGUAAUAGCUCACUGAUCGAGUCGUCCUGCGCGGAAGAUGUAACGGGGCUAAGCAAUAUACCGAAGCUGCGGAUGCACAUUUAUGUGCAUGGUAGGAGAGCGUUCCGUAAGCCUGCGAAGGUGCACUGGAAAGUGUGCUGGAGGUAUCGGAAGUGCGAAUGCUGACAUGAGUAGCGAUAAAGGGGGUGAAAGGCCCCCUCGCCGUAAGCCCAAGGUUUCCUACGCAACGUUCAUCGGCGUAGGGUGAGUCGGCCCCUAAGGCGAGGCAGAAAUGCGUAGCUGAUGGGAAGCAGGUUAAUAUUCCUGCACCAUUGUUAAAUGCGAUGGGACGGAUCGCGGAAGGUUGUCCGGGUGUUGGAAGUCCCGGUCCUUGCAUUGGAGAAGGCGCUUAGGCAAAUCCGGGCGCGGAAUUCAAGGGUGCGAGGCCAUUCACUUCGGUGAAGAAGCAAUCGGAAGUGGUUCCAAGAAAAGCCUCUAAGCUUCAGUUUAACAGGACCGUACCGCAAACCGACACAGGUGGGCGAGAUGAGUAUUCUAAGGCGCUUGAGAGAACUCGGGAGAAGGAACUCGGCAAAUUGGUACCGUAACUUCGGGAUAAGGUACGCCCCUGUAGCUUGACGCCCCUGCGGGCGGAGGGUGAAGGGGUUGCAAUAAACUGGUGGCUGCGACUGUUUAAUAAAAACACAGCACUCUGCAAACACGAAAGUGGACGUAUAGGGUGUGACGCCUGCCCGGUGCCGGAAGAUUAAAUGAUGGGGUGCAAGCUCCUGAUUGAAGUCCCGGUAAACGGCGGCCGUAACUAUAACGGUCCUAAGGUAGCGAAAUUCCUUGUCGGGUAAGUUCCGACCUGCACGAAUGGCGUAACGAUGGCCACACUGUCUCCUCCCGAGACUCAGCGAAGUUGAAGUGUUUGUGAUGAUGCAAUCUCCCCGCGGCUAGACGGAAAGACCCCAUGAACCUUUACUGUAGCUUUGCAUUGGACUUUGAACCGGUCUGUGUAGGAUAGGUGGGAGGCUGUGAAGCGUGAACGCCAGUUUGCGUGGAGCCAUCCUUGAAAUACCACCCUGAUCUGUUUGAGGUUCUAACCUUGGUCCGUAAUCCGGAUCGGGGACAGUGCAUGGUAGGCAGUUUGACUGGGGCGGUCUCCUCCCAAAGUGUAACGGAGGAGUACGAAGGUACGCUAGGUACGGUCGGAAAUCGUGCUGAUAGUGCAAUGGCAUAAGCGUGCUUAACUGCGAGACCGACAAGUCGAGCAGGUGCGAAAGCAGGUCAUAGUGAUCCGGUGGUUCUGUAUGGAAGGGCCAUCGCUCAACGGAUAAAAGGUACUCUGGGGAUAACAGGCUGAUACCGCCCAAGAGUUCAUAUCGACGGCGGUGUUUGGCACCUCGAUGUCGGCUCAUCUCAUCCUGGGGCUGUAGCCGGUCCCAAGGGUAUGGCUGUUCGCCAUUUAAAGAGGUACGUGAGCUGGGUUUAAAACGUCGUGAGACAGUUUGGUCCCUAUCUGCCGUGGGCGCUGGAUAUUUGAAGGGGGCUGCUCCUAGUACGAGAGGACCGGAGUGGACGAACCUCUGGUGUACCGGUUGUCACGCCAGUGGCAUCGCCGGGUAGCUAUGUUCGGAAGAGAUAACCGCUGAAAGCAUCUAAGCGGGAAACUCGCCUUAAGAUGAGAUAUCCCCGGGGCUUCGAGCCCCUUGAAGGGUCGUUCAAGACCAGGACGUUGAUAGGUCAGGUGUGUAAGCGCAGUAAUGUGCUCAGCUAACUGAUACUAAUUGCCCGUAAGGCUUGAUCCU
rnacentral:rRNA from 1 species